rnacentral:SRP_RNA from 2 species
CUGUGAUAGACGGGAAGUUAGCGGUGUCCUAUAACCUGCAAUCCGCUUUAGCAGGGUUGAAUUCCCAAUUUGAGUAUAUUUCUUGUAAGGCAGGCUGGUAUGAGAGAUGUUGAGAAUAUGGUCUUGUGCAAUACAGAUUUAUGAACCCCGUCAGGUCAGGAAUGAAGCAGCGGUAAGUAAACACCUGUAUGUGAUACAAGGGUGCUGUAUUUGAGUUUUUUAUGUCAGAACCGCUUGUGAGCAAUAUACGAUUUUGGGUUCACAG